rnacentral:rRNA from 1 species
GGGUGCAAGCGUUAAUCGGAAUUACUGGGCGUAAAGCGUGCGCAGGCGGUUAUGCAAGACAGAUGUGAAAUCCCCGGGCUCAACCUGGGAACUGCAUUUGUGACUGCAUGGCUGGAGUGCGGCAGAGGGGGAUGGAAUUCCGCGUGUAGCAGUGAAAUGCGUAGAUAUGCGGAGGAACACCGAUGGCGAAGGCAAUCCCCUGGGCCUGCACUGACGCUCAUGCACGAAAGCGUGGGGAGCAA